UACGUAGGGGGCAAGCGUUGUCCGGAUUUAUUGGGCGUAAGGAGCUCGUAGGCGGUUUGGUAAGUCAGGUGUGAAAUCUCCACGCUCAACGUGGAGGGGCCACCUGAUACUGCCAUGACUGGAGUCCGGUAGAGGAGUGUGGAAUUCCUGGUGUAGCGGUGAAAUGCGCAGAUAUCAGGAGGAACACCGAUGGCGAAGGCAGGUCUCUGGGCCGAUACUGACGCUGAGGAGCGAAAGCGUGGGGAGCGAACAGG
rnacentral:rRNA from 1 species